GGGCCCGUUGCCUAGCCAGGAUAGGGCGCCGGCCUUCUAAGCCGGAGGCCCGGGGUUCGAAUCCCCGCGGGCCCG
rnacentral:tRNA from 2 species